UAUACAGGUGUCUGAGAGAAUGCUCAGGUGAAAAGGGAAACGGGUGUAAAUCCCGUACAAGGCCGUUGCUGUGUUGGAGUAGCGGCUGUUUAUAUCUCAUUAGGGUGUGUCCUGAGAAGAGAAACAGCCGUGUUUGAUGCCAGAGUCAGAAGACCUGCCUGUAUAU
rnacentral:ncRNA from 1 species